CGAACGUCCCAUUUUGUUGGUUCUCUGAGACGAUCGUAAUGAUUAAUAGGGACAGUUGGGGGCAUUCGUAUUGCGUCGUCAGAGGUGAAAUUCUUGGAUUGACGCAAGACGAACUACUGCGAAAGCAUUUGCCAAGGAUGUUUUCAUUAAUCAAGAACGAAAGUUAGGGGAUCGAAGGCGAUUAGAAACCGCCCUAGUCCUAACCAUAAACGAUGCCAACUCAGUAUUGGAGGGUGUUAACCAAACGACCCUUUCAGCACUGCUAGAGAAAUCAAAGUCUCUGGGUUCUGGGGGGAGUAUGGUCGCAAGGCUGAAACUUAAAGAAAUUGACGGAAGGGCACCACCAGGUGUGGAGCCUGCGGCUUAAUUUGACUCAACACGGGGAAACUC
rnacentral:rRNA from 1 species